UUUGUGCCCGUUGCAUUGUUUGCC
rnacentral:siRNA from 1 species